GUAGGUAAGUGGUUAUGUACUCUUUUUAAAACUUUAUGUUGACAUUCAAAAAAGGAGACUUUCUUGGUCUAUAAGGAAAAAUGCAACAACAACAAACUUUAUUAAUACCAAUGACUAGGUAAGAAAUUAAUAUAUUCAACAGUGUGUUCAGUGCUUUAAUUUGGAUUUGAUUUGGAUAAGUGUGAAACAUGCAAGAAACUCGUGGAAUCAUGUUUACACCAACAAAACUACUAAGGGGCUUAAGUAUAUACAAAUUACUGCUAAUUAGGAAGGGAAACAAGACAACAAAACCUGAAUAAUUAUGGUUGGUGAUAGCGACUUUGGAUGCAAUUUGGAGCAAUUGAGCGUUAUGAAAAAAACCAAAUAAAAAUAAAACAGAUCUGAAUAAUUCAUAAUUAUGCCCAAUCAGCAGUGACGGCAUUUGGGAAUUGUGAGCUUGG